UUUCGCAAUGCCCGAAAGGGUGACGAAGCGACGCCGCGUGCGGGAAGAAGGCCUUCGGGUUGUAAACCGCUGUCGGGAGUUAAGAAAUGUAAGGAUGUUAAUAGCAUCUUUGCUUGACUAAGGCUCCGAAGGAAGCCACGGCUAACUCUGUGCCAGCAGCCGCGGUAAUACAGAGGCGGCAAGCGUUGUUCGGAAUUAUUGGGCGUAAAGAGCACGUAGGCGGCUAUGUAAGUCGGUUGUGAAAGCCUUCCGCUCAACGGGAGAACAGCAUCCGAUACUGCAUGGCUUGAGUGCGGGAGGGGAGAGUGGAACUUCUGGUGGAGCGGUGAAAUGCGUAGAUAUCAGAAGGAACGCCGGCGGCGAAAGCGGCUCUCUGGCCCAUAACUGACGCUGAGUGUGCGAAAGCUAGGGGAGCAAACGGGAUUAGAUACCCCGGUAGUCCUAGCCGUAAACGAUGGGCACUAAGUAGAGGGGUUUUA
rnacentral:rRNA from 1 species